UCUAGUCAAAUGCUUUGUAACUAUUUGAUAAAAUAUCAGUUCUCAAAAAAAAAAAAAAAGGGAGUCAAGAAAAUCAAAACAAAUUUAAUAUAAUUGUGAUAAUUGUUUGAGAAAGAUGAAAAAGAAAAAAAAGAAAAAAGGGAAUUAGUUAAGAAAAUUAAAUUAAGGAGAGAUCCGAACCAGUACAGACACAACGACUGAUUAUAUACAAAAAUUGAGAUUAACAGAGAUCCGAAUCAGAACUGAGACAAUGACUGAUUAUAUAGCGUAAAAUAACAGUGACUAGGAAUUAACAACAACUUUUAAUCACACAAAAAAAAAGAAAAAAAGAAAAAGAAAAUGGUAACAGUGUCAGUCGCUUCUGAUGGCACUGGUCUGAGAAUAACAUAAAGUUGCUCAAAUAAAUAACACAACUAGUAAAGUAAACUACUAGAAUAGAAUAAACAACACAGAAACUUAUCUCCCGUGGGAGAUUAGACGAUGAAUAUUCAUUGCCACUCUUUUGGUUACACUUUGUCACUAGAUGUGAAAAAGCUUAAUUACAAAGGCAAAAUAACCUCGAGACUCGGCGCCACAGCCGUGAGGGAGGGUUCCCUUGCACCGGAUUUGAUCCGCCGGGUUGACUUGGCCCAUUAGCGCUAGCAGGACCCGCUUGAAUAUUGUUUUGCUGAUUUUGUGAUUGGGAGUACUCUGGGGGGUAUGUAUACUUUUUCUCCAUCCUCUCUGACGUUUGUUUAAAGGACAAACUGCCACCGCCAACUAUAAAUGGAAUGUGCUUUAAUGCUUGUUGUGGCUUCUGCUUAGGAGAAGAGUCUUUCUCAGGAGUAGUACCACUCAUGAUUUGUUCUCAGUAAAAUAUUUGAAUGCUCAGUGUAAAUGACUAGUUAGCUAUAUAGACUUGAUAGAGAAGCAUUCAUAUUCGUGAUGGAUGAAGGAGGGGUGAAACUUCUUCUCUGUUUCUUCUCUAUUUCCGUGAAACUCCCUCUGUAUUUCUUCUCUAUUUCCGUGAAAUAGAUUUUGUUUAUAAAAUAAAUCGUGAGUCUGUUUUGUGACAUGGCACAUCAAAUACAACUGACAAAAUAUUUUCUUUUUACUGCCAUAAAAACGCGUCUCAUAAUAACAUUGCGAAAGUGAG
rnacentral:lncRNA from 1 species